UCGGGUGUGGUGUAAUGGCUAACAUCGUUGACUCUCACUCAACAGCUCCGGGUUCGAUUCCCGGCAUCCGAG
rnacentral:tRNA from 1 species